GAGUGUCUGGUGUCCUGAGGAGAUCCAAGGCCUAACCGCGCAGCCGUGCUUCCAUCAAAAAGUGCCCCACAGGUGAACAUCAAAGCCUGUGUCUACAAAAGUUGAUCUGGUGGCAAAAAAAUUUCAAUCAUACUGUGACUUAAAGUAAUUGCGGAGGCCACCCGGCGGAGGUGAGGAGCGAAGCUCAGGUUUCAAAGGGUGAACUCCAUGGCUUGCGUAGGACGGAAUAAUAAAAGGAGCCUGAAACCGUAUUUGGAAUGAUUGGAAGUGAAAUAUUACAUUGUAACAAGUGGGAAGAACUUUGGACCAGGGACCCUUACCAGGUCACUUACAAGUCUGGGUAAUUUCUGUUCCCUUGGAAAAUUAUCACCUAAGAAAACA